rnacentral:rRNA from 1 species
GUGCUUAACACAUGCAAGUCGAGUGCGCGCCCGUAGCAAUACGGGUGGCGCACGGCGCACGGGUGCGUAACACGUGGGCAAUCUGCCCUCGGAUGGGGGAUAACCCCGCGAAAGCGGGGCUAAUACCGCAUGACAUUCCGAAGACUCCGGUCUUUGGACUCAAAGGCCGCAAGGCCGUCUGAGGAGGAGCCCGCGCCCGAUUAGCUAGUUGGUGAGGUAACGGCUCACCAAGGCUUUGAUCGGUAGCCGGUCUGAGAGGAUGGCCGGCCACACUGGAACUGAGAUACGGUCCAG